GAAUAUAAAGUGUAAUAGAAAAAAAGCCAAGAAAAACAAAAAUUUACUCGGUUCCAUCUCAACGGCAGCAUCAAUUCUCAACAUUUCAGGCAGCCGCGCCUUCCUCCACUGACAGCCACCAUUCGCCUUCCUCCGCUGACAGCCACCAUUCUCCAACCUCAGUUUCUCCUUUUUUUCAGUAGGUUCUUGAAAUUCAACUACUACAUGGGUUCUCUAGUACGUCAUGGAUUACUAUUGCCGGGGACAAAGGUGCGGGACUUAAAUGCAAGGUUGCCGGUGAAGAUAGUUUUGUUGGUUCAGAACUUGCGAGGAGAAUAGCCAAGACGGCUCCCAUCAUUGGAGGUUCUGAAGCCUCUUCCCUUUUGUUGUACACGGUUUGGUAAUUCUGGCAUCAGCAACUCCCAAAUAAUAGAAUUUUCAAGGCAUGACCGAGGAAAUUGCUGGAACUACUUUUAAGGAACUUCCCUGAAAAUUAUUUCCAAGUCUCUUGACUCUGUUUAACUGCUUCUCCUUUCAAGAAAAAAGUAAGUCAAGUAGGUGAAUUUACCUUCAUUUUCAAGAAAAUGUGUUCUUGGGAUAGUGUUCUUUUGGUGGAACUGUCCCUUGUAUCCUUUCUUUGCUUUAAAUCAUGUGCAAGGAUGAGCUGCAGUCUUUCUUUCAUGUCAUUUUCGGAAUGCGGGAAUAAGUAAUUGUAAUUACAGGUAAGUUGCAUGUUUUGUUCUUGUAUAUGGUGCAUCAUGUAUUUACUCUUGUUUGUUAAAAGAUGUGUAGUGAAGAGCAGUUAAGUUUAUUCUCAUUGUUUUCUUUGCUUCUUCGACAAUUGCAGGCCAUAUUUGUUGCUGCAUAAAGCUGCUGUUCUUUAGCAAUCUUUCGUGAGACGUAUUCCCUAAACAUGUCUGGUGUAAAAGGAACAGUUUUGGAUUUGGCGAAGUUGGUCGACAAGGGUGUCCAAGUCAAGUUAACUGGUGGAAGACAAGAAAUUGCUGCCAAAUGAUCCUUGGUUCACGUAGGACUUUGUUGCUGAAACCUUUUGGCUCCACUUAUUAACACAUGGAGCUAUAUGAGCAAGAUGCUGAUGUUCUCAAUUACACAAGCUAGAGUAAGACUACUGCUUGAAGGUAAAGGAAAGCCAUGUAUAUACUCACUUUGAUUAGUGAAUCUGUGUCUACUUGAGGAGCAGUAAGUAACAUUAUGUUUCCUGAUCAAUUUGCCUACUUCACCUCUUAUUGCAUAUAUGUGAUCCACUGAUGGCUAAGUGUCAUCCGUCCAUUCUCUCGUACUCUUAUCUGAACUUGACUUUAAGUAUCUUAAUAUUCUCUUGGGACUAUGAUGACACUUCCCAAGUAUAUUACUCUUAUAUGUAAUACACUGAAAGCUAAGUGCCAUCACCCACUCUCUCUUACUCUUAUUUUAACUUGACUUUAAGUAUUAUAAUAUUCUCUUAGGACUGUGAUAUUUUAACUUCCUAGACCAAUUAAUGGACAAACAUAAUAUUUUCCCUCAAGUGCCAUAUAGAAAGGUAUCUUGUUUAUGCGGUAUCUAUUUUAUGCCUUUAAAUUAGAGCAUGUCGCAAUGAUGUAUCUGUGUUGUUUUCUUUUGUGCCUUCAUAAUUCUAUCUUAAUGCAAAGAAUAGAUGUCAUACUAUUUAUAAUCUCUUGGAGAAGUACUGUUGUUACUGGUAAUUUAGCACGAAUUCUUUUAUUUGUGAGUUUUAUUGUUACUGGUCAUAUAUCAUUUUUCAGUAAUAUGUAUAAUAUGCAUUUAUUUGAUUCUACAAGUGAAGCAUGUCAAUUGGUAAGUAAGAUUCAUACUUGUCUUUUUACAAGAGCGAGGGCCAGAGUUUGAAUUUGAUUUGCCAAUUCUGUGCGAAGUAGAUAACCUCAUCGAUAAAGAUCGUGCGGGAAUCAAAAGGUUAAGUAGGAUUUAAAUGCUCAAUUAAAACAUAUAUUGGCUGCUAAAGUAUGCUAUUUGAUGACAUUUUAGAACCUAAUGGUAGCCUUCCUAUCUUCAUAUUCCUCUAUUCUAGUUUCUAACUCAAAAGUAACCAGUGCCCCUAUUAAUUCUUCUUUGUCAAUUUUUCUUCCAUAUUUUGAAAUCAAGGUGGUUGAACCAUUGAUUUUACACUUGGUAUAAUUCAAACCCAAUUGUAUUGCUCUAAUUUCUUUGAAAAGUCACACAAUCACCAUUCUCGUAUGGAAAGAAAAUAAUUAUGGGUUUUGAGGUUGCUCAAAAUGUGAAGGAUGCAAGGGGUUAGAGUUGAGACCUAAAUUGGAGAAUAAACCCUCCUCUUUUUUCGUAAAUUUAUUCUUGGUUCAUUUAUUGUGUUGGGUUCUCUUUUCAUGCGCUUGCCUUAAAAUUUUUUGUUCGUAAUGCAUUUGACAUUCUUGUAUGAAUUUACAAACUUCAUGUUGGUUCAUGUUAUUAACUCUUGUUUUUGCAGGCGUAUCAUAGAAAAAUAUGUUGAAAAAUCUAUAUCAUUCAAUCAUGAAUUAUUUUAUUUGUGAACUUUGAAAAUUAAAUGCUAUACUAAAAUGCCGAACUGUUGUCUAGAUGCCAAUUUAAAAUCUAUUUUUCAAGAGGACUUGGUAAAUAUUUUGUGAGUACUAUAUAAUUUCAUGAGUCGAUAAAUGGUUUUUGAGGAACACAUAGUUUUGCUAACUUAAAUUGUGUUUGAAGAACCUUUUAAUUUUUAUAUCUAAAUAAUAUUACUGGAAAUUGGUUUUCUUGUUAACUGUUCUUCUGUUAUCAAUUAAUGUUUUCAAAAUCAGCUUUUAUCUUUUACUUAAAGAUUUGUUUUUCUUGUCAAGUGUUUUAUAAUAAACUCAUUUUUCAAUCAGCUUGAACUUACAAAUAAUGAAGAAAAAUUAACAAAAUAUUUUGAUUAGCAAUAGAUGAAUUCAUUUAAUUGUUUUUGGAUAAAUGCAUGAAAAGUCAUAUGUUUUGAACUUUAAGUGAAAUUACUUUUGUUGAAUUUUAAUUUUAUAAAAGUAACAGACUUUGAAACAGUUUUUGAAGUUUUUUGGAACAUUUUAGAAAGCGUUCAGUUUACUAUUUUUGGUCAAAUUGCAUUCAUUGCCAUAUUUGUUCAGAUUUCCAAGAAAGUACAUUAUUAACUUUUCUUUUGACAAAUGAUUAUCGUGCUGAAACUUGUCAAGAUGUGUUGAAAACUCUUUUAAGAUAUUUGCCAAUAAUUUAAAAAACGAUAAUGAGAUUGGCAUCUAGAACAGUUUUGCAAUUUAUUAUAUGUAUGUUAUUUUUUAAAGUUCACAAAUGAACUAAUUUGUGAUUGUAUGCUAUAGAAUUCCAACAAUACUUUGAUACGCCUGCAAAGUUGAGAUGUCGAUGAUAUGAAUAAAUAUGGUGUUUUUGUAAAAUUUGUACAAGAAUCUUAAAUGUACGACAAACAAAAAGUUUUGAUAAAGCAACAUGGGAACAAAACCUAACAUGAUAAACAAACCGAGAAUAAAUCAAGAAAAAUAAUGGAGGGUUACUUCUCGUUUAGGUCUCAACUCCAACUCUCUUGCGCCUGUCAUAUUUAAAGCGGUCUCAGAAUCCGUAGUUCCAUCUUUUCCAAAUUAGAAUGUUGAGUACGUGAGUGUUUCAUAGAAAUUAGACACUUUUGGGUUUGAAUUAUACAAAGUAAAUUGCAAUGGUUUCAACCUUACUUGAUUUCUAAAUAUGGGAAAAAUUGAUAAAGAAGCAAUUGAUAAGGUCAAAGGUUGCUUUUUUGGCUAGAAAAUGGUAGAGAGGAAUAUAUGGAUAUAUAGGUUAUUAUGUGAUUCUAGAUGUUGUCGAAGAUGCACUCUUCUUUAAGCCAGCCAAUAUGUAACAAUUGGGUGUUUAAAUUAGUUCUUAAAGAAAAGAUGUUAUUUAUAUAAAUUGUUAUUGCAUGUCAUUCUGUUGCGCGUUUUUCUCUUUAAUUGUUGAUUCUUACAAAUUUUCUUGUUUGUUUAUUUCAUUCUAACAACUUAGUGCUGGCGAAGACAGCUUUCACGUCGAUCGGGUUCAAGUAAUUUGGAGUAUGAGUCUUUUGCACCAAUACGAGUCUUUUGCACCAGAGUAUCAACCCUCCUGGGUUCUCCAAGAAUCGGCAGCCAUCUAUGUAAAGAGUCUAUUGUAAAUAAGAAUUAAGUGUGUAUGGUAGUACUUCGGCCUUCUUUGUAUUAUGGCUCCAAUAAGACCGCCUUGUUUCUUAGCCAAAGAAAUAAAAGUUUUGAUCCGAAAC